UGGUUGGUACAACGAGUUGCGAGUCGGUGACGGCGAGCUAAUCUCUUAAAGCCAAUCUCAGUUCGGAUUGUAGGCUGCAACUCGCCUACAUGAAGUCGGAAUCGCUAGUAAUCGCGGAUCAGCACGCCGCGGUGAAUACGUUCCCGGGCCUU
rnacentral:rRNA from 1 species